rnacentral:rRNA from 1 species
AUGAACUUGAGAGUUUGAUCCUGGCUCAGAACGAACGCUGGCGGCAUGCCUAACACAUGCAAGUCGAACGAGACCUUCGGGUCUAGUGGCGCACGGGUGCGU